rnacentral:rRNA from 1 species
GAUGAACGCUGACAGAAUGCUUAACACAUGCAAGUCUACUUGAACUUCGGUUUGGGUGGCGGACGGGUGAGUAACGCGUAAAGAACUUGCCUCACAGUUAGGGACAACAUUUGGAAACGAAUGCUAAUACCUGAUAUUAUGAUUUUAGGGCAUCCUAGGAUUAUGAAAGCUAUAUGUGCUGUGAGAGAGCUUUGCGUCCCAUUAGCUAGUUGGAGAGGUAACGGCUCACCAAGGCGAUGAUGGGUAGCCGGCCUGAGAGGGUGAACGGCCACAAGGGGACUGAGACACGGCCCUUACUCCUUCGGGAGGCAGAAGUGGAGAAUUUUUGACAAUGGACCAAAAGUCUGAUCCAGCAAUUCUGUUUGUAAGAUGAUGUUUUUCGGAAUGAAAAGUGCUUUCAGUUGAGAAGAAAAAAAUGACGGUACCAACAGAAGAAGUGACGGCUAAAUACGUG